rnacentral:rRNA from 1 species
UCCGUAGGUGAACCUGCGGAAGGAUCAUUAUCGAGCGAAUCCAAAACGAACGAAAAAGUCUCCCAACGUGCAUACCUUCCAUUUGCAUGUUGUUGUGAGCCACAUGGAAACUCGUACACACGUGGUGGCAGCCGUCUGCUGUGCUUUUUUUAGGCAGACAAUGGCUUACGAGUGGCCGUGUGCUUGUUGAACAACGGUGACCAAUUUGGCGUCUACGCCGUAUCUAGCUUCUGCCUGGACCGUCAGUUGCGAUGAAAGAUGCGGAGAAAGUUCCUUUGUUUUGGCUGCUAAUCAUCAUUGAUGAGCAGUAGCUUAAGGCAGAGUUGAGCAGACUUAAUGAGCCACGCUAGGUGGCCGCCAAAACCCAAAACACAACCGGUCUAUUUGACAUUGUUAUUUCAUUGUAUGUGUUGAAAAUGUACAAAUCUUGGCGGUGGAUCACUCGGUUCGUGGAUCGAUGAAGAACGCAGCCAGCUGCGAUAAAUAGUGCGAAUUGCAGACACAUUGAGCACUAAGAAUUCGAACGCACAUUGCGCUAUCGGGUUCAUUCCCGAUGGCACGUCUGGCUGAGGGUCGAAUUACGGUGAACUGUCUUCACGGUUUUUUUGGACUGUGAAGCAUUCGGCAAGCAAUUGCUGUUGUGUUGUUGGUGAUUCUAUCAUGGACAAUAUGACGAGCGGUUCCUUGCUUAGUGAUGACAAAAGAAGACGUCAACACCGAAUCUACUAUACUACUAAUACUAGUAUAUAGGUGAGGUGCUUUUGGUGGUCACAAAAGUGACAAGUAUGCCAUUUCAUAGGGGCAACAACCAGCAUACGUGAUAAGUUGGCUGGUUGAUGAAACGGCAACGGAAUGACGGACGUCUAUGUGAUCAAAAAUGAUACUAUUUGACCUCAGCUCAGUCGUGAUUACCCGCUGAAUUUAAGCAUAUA